rnacentral:piRNA from 1 species
UGUCACUAAAGAAGUUUCCGGUGUAUGGCA